AGUCACUGACAUUAGAUACCCCGGUAGUCCAGGGUGUAAACGCUGCAGACUUGGUGUUGGGAACCCUUCGGGGGUGCUCAGUGCCGGAGAGAAGUUGUUAAGUCUGCUACUUGGGGAGUACGUCCGCAAGGAUGAAACUUAAAGGAAUUGGCGGGGGAGCACCGCAACGGGAGGAGCGUGCGGUUUAAUUGGAUUCAACGCCGAAAAACUCACCAGCAGCGACUGUUACAUGAAAGUCAGGUUGAUGACCUUACUAGAUUUUCAG
rnacentral:rRNA from 1 species